AACGAACGCUGGCGGCAGGCCUAACACAUGCAAGUCGAACGAAGUCUUCGGACUUAGUGGCGCACGGGUGAGUAACACGUGGGAAUAUACCUUACGCUGGGGGAUAACAUCGGGAAACUGAUGCUAAUACCGCAUACGCCCUUCGGGGGAAAGAUUUAUCGGCGAAAGAUUAGCCCGCGUCCGAUUAGCUAGUUGGUGAGGUAAUGGCUCACCAAGGCUCCGAUCGGUAGCUGGUCUGAGAGGAUGACCAGCCACACUGGGACUGAGACACGGCCCAGACUCCUACGGGAGGCAGCAGUGGGGAAUAUUGGACAAUGGGCGCAAGCCUGAUCCAGCCAUGCCGCGUGAGUGAUGAAGGCCUUAGGGUUGUAAAGCUCUUUCACCCACGACGAUGAUGACGGUAGUGGGAGAAGAAGCCCCGGCUAACUGCGU
rnacentral:rRNA from 1 species